ACCGAGCUCACAUCAAACACGAGGGCCAAGGAUGGACCGCGGUCAAGGGCGAUGCUGGCGCCCCCUGACGUCUGAGCUCAGGGAGGCAGGAUGGUGACCCCAUGCCCCCUGGGAGGAUUUGCGUUUUGAACUGGACCUGAGCAGGAACCCAGGCGAACAUCAGUUUGGACAGAACUCGUAGACCACGAAGGUGACCGUCUGCCAGCCUCACGGCCGUGACGCUGCAAGGAGACGAGAGACCCGCAUCAGUGGAGGGACCGGGCUGCCACCUGCCUGCUCGUUCAGGCCCCUCCCCUCUGCACCGGACGGGGCGUCCCCAGAGCCAGUCCCCGGGGGACUCUGAGACCCUGGAAACAUAAGGUUGGUAGAAGCCACAGUGGCAGGAGUGGUCCAGGACAGAGCGACUUGUCCCCACCCCGAGGCUACUUCGGAACUUGUGACCUUCCUGAUCAGAACACCCAAAGCCUCCGGGACGGGCCCAGGAGUCUGACCAGCUGAAUGCAGCUCCCCCACCCGGAAGGAGGCCUGGCCCCUCCGCAGGGUCCCGGCCUCAGGGGGCUGAAUGAGUUACAAUGUAACCUCGUUUGCAAAAGCUUUCAAUUCUUCAAGAUCCCUCCCUUUAAAAACAAAAGCUUUUGACUCCUGCGUUACUGAGAAGGGGAAUGAGGGAGGGAGUUAAACGUAGCUAGAGGAGUUCCUGUCGUGGCGCAGCAAAAAACGAAUCCGACUAGGGACCAUGAGGUUGCGGGUUCCAUCCCUGGCCUCGCUCGGUGGGUUAAGGAUUGGUGCUGCCAUGAGCUGUGGUGUAGGCCGAAGACACGGCUCAGAUCCCGCGUGGCUGUGCUGUGGUGUAGGCCAGUGGUACAGCUCCGAUUCGACCCCUGGUCUAGGGACCUCCACAUGCCGUGGUGUGGCCCUAAAAAGACAAAAGACAAAAAAUGUUAAGAAGCAGAGAAGGGGGCGGGGAUGUUGCAAGUGAGAAAUUUCCCAGCGGAGGUUGGUUGAGAGGUUUUAAAAGAAAUAGGCUCAAUUUUGUUUUAGUUUUGGUGUUACUCCCUGAAUCUUCAAUAAAAGUCUACUCAAAAAAAUAAAAGUAUCUCCCACCUG
rnacentral:lncRNA from 1 species